rnacentral:sRNA from 1 species
GCUGGGCAUGGUGGCACAUGCCUGUAAUCCCAACUUCUUGGGAGGCUGAGACAGGAGAAUCUUGAGUUCAUAGCCAGCCUCAGAAAAAGUGAGGUGCUAAGCAACUCAGUGGGACCCUAUCUCUA